CUUGGUUACUCUAGAAAAGGUAGUGGUGCUUGGUUACUCUAGAAAAGGUAGAGGUGCUUGGUUACUCUAGAAAAGGUAGAGGUGCUUGGUUACUCUAGAAAAGGUAGAGGUGCUUGGUUACUCUAGAAAAGGUAGAGGUGCUUGGUUACUCUAGAAAAGGUAGAGGUGCUUGGUUACUCUAGAAAAGGUAGAGGUGCUUGGUUACUCUAGAAAAGGUAGAGGUGCUUGGUUACUCUAGAAAAG